rnacentral:sRNA from 1 species
ACAGACGACUCAGGCGGGAGACGAGCGGUGUCAUGGCCGCCGACAGUGACGAUGGCGCAGUUUCAGCUCCCGCAGCUUCCGACGGUGAGCGGCUUCCCAGAGGUAGCCUUCAAAGCCUCUGCGCUCUGGGAGAGGGGAAGGCCUCGGGCUCAUAGUUCUAGAGGCUCCUCAAGCUUCAGAGGACUGCUCCUUCCGCCUGAACUAGCCACGAGGAGACUACAAGUCCCGUUGUACACCGCGGCUCCGGCCGCAAAAGCCUGGAGCGUUGGGAGCAUGGGGCUGAUGGAGGCAUGGCGGGAGAUGUAGUCUGGAGCUCAUAACGGUGGCGUCAGCAAAAGCACAACAUCUGGGGAGGAGCUAGUAGUCCAGGUUCCCGUAGUGGAUGUGCAAAGCAACAACUUCAAGGAGAUGUGGCCAUCCCUCCUGCUAGCCAUAAAGACAGCUAAUUUCGUGGCUGUGGACACGGAGCUGAGUGGGCUUGGGGACAGGAAGAGUUUGCUGAACCAGUGCAUCGAGGAACGUUACAAGGCCGUGUGUCAUGCUGCCAGGACCCGUUCUAUCCUUUCCCUGGGCCUCGCCUGCUUCAAGCGGCAGCCAGACAAGGGUGAACAUUCCUAUCUGGCUCAAGUGUUCAAUCUCACUCUGCUGUGCAUGGAGGAGUAUGUCAUAGAACCAAAGUCUGUGCAGUUCCUGAUACAGCAUGGCUUCAACUUCAACCAGCAGUAUGCCCAAGGCAUCCCCUACCAUAAGGGCAAUGACAAGGGUGAUGAGAGCCAGAGCCAGUCAGUACGGACCCUAUUCCUGGAGCUAAUCCGAGCCCGCCGGCCCCUGGUGCUACACAAUGGCCUUAUAGACUUGGUGUUCCUGUACCAGAACUUCUAUGCACACCUCCCUGAGAGUCUGGGAACCUUCACCGCUGACCUGUGUGAGAUGUUCCCAGCAGGCAUUUAUGACACCAAAUAUGCUGCUGAGUUUCAUGCCCGUUUCGUGGCCUCCUACUUAGAAUAUGCCUUCCGGAAAUGGCAGUGUUUUAGGUGCUGAGGAUUCAGCAGUGAACAAAACAGACCACAAAACCCUGCUCUUAUGGAGCUUAUAUGCUAGUGGACCAUUACCCUCUUGCGCUGUUGCAGUGAACGGGAAAAUGGGAAGCAGCGGGCAGCUGGCAGCCCACACCUUACCCUGGAGUUCUGCAACUAUCCUUCCAGCAUGAGGGACCAUAUUGAUUACCGCUGCUGCCUGCCCCCAGCAACCCACCGUCCUCAUCCCACCAGCAUCUGUGACAACUUCUCGGUGAGAGCACCCACCUGUUUCUUGGGAGGGAAGGUUCUGAUGCCUGGAGCCUCUUUCUAAGCCUCUUUCCCACCCCUAGGCUUAUGGCUGGUGCCCCCUGGGACCACAGUGUCCUCAGUCUCACGAUAUUGACCUUAUCAUUGACACUGACGAGGCUGCGGCAGAGGACAAGCGGCGACGGCGACGACGUAGGGAAAAACGGAAGAGGGCUUUAUUGAACCUACCGGGGACACAGACCUCUGGGGAAGCUAAGGAUGGUCCUCCCAAGAAGCAGGUCUGUGGGGAUAGCAUCAAGGCUGAAGAAACCGAGGAGAAGGUGGCUGCCGAUGAAACUAGGAACCUGCCUCACUCCAAGCAAGGCAACAAAAAUGACUUAGAGAUGGGGAUUAAGGCAGCAAGGCCUGAAAUAGCUGAUAGAGCUACCUCAGAAGUGCCAGGGAGCCAAGCCAGUCCUAACCCAGUGCCUGGGGAUGGAUUGCACCGGGCUGGUUUUGAUGCCUUUAUGACAGGUUAUGUGAUGGCCUAUGUGGAAGUGAGCCAGGGACCGCAGCCCUGCAGCUCUGGACCCUGGCUCCCUGAAUGCCACAAUAAGGUAUAUUUGAGUGGCAAAGCUGUACCCCUCACAGUGGCCAAGAGCCAGUUCUCUCGUUCCUCCAAAGCCCACAAUCAGAAGAUGAAGCUCGCUUGGGGCAGUAGCUGAUGCAACUUCCACCUUGCUCUCAGGUGGAACAGAGGUAUUUUGGGUCUCUCUAGCCUGAAGUGUCAUCCUCAACUGCUACUGAGUUUAGGGGAGGGGGAAUGUCCUGACAGACUUCACUGCAUUGCCCUGGACCGCCUCCUUUAUCCCAGUGUUUGAGGUACAAGUAAGAAGGCUGACCAGCACCUGUAACACUGACUUUAUUUUUAAGUCUGAAAAUGUCUUGGGAAAGUUUUACAAAAAAAAAAAAUCAACAGAAGCAAGUU